rnacentral:rRNA from 1 species
AACUAACGCUGGCGGCGUGCCUAACACAUGCAAGUCGUACGGGAAAGCCGGCUUCGGCUGGUGAGUAAAGUGGCGCACGGGUGAGUAACGCGUGGAUAAUCUGCCCUUAAGUGUGGAAUAACGUACCGAAAGGUGCGCUAAUACCGCAUAAUGCCUGGCAACACAAGUUGUCCGGCCAAAGAAGGCCUCUGUUUACAAGCUUUCGCUUCAGGAUGAGUCCGCGUACCAUUAGCUUGUUGGUGGGGUAAUGGCCUACCAAGGCUGCGAUGGUUAGCUGGUCUGAGAGGAUGAUCAGCCACACUGGAACUGAGACACGGUCCAGACUCCUACGGGAGGCAGCAGUGAGGAAUAUUGCGCAAUGGGGGCAACCCUGACGCAGCAACGCCGCGUGAGUGAGGAAGGUUUUCGGACUGUAAAGCUCUGUCGAGCGGGAAGAAGUGUACCAUGGCUAAUAUCCAUGAUAUUUGACGGUACCGCUAGAG